rnacentral:misc_RNA from 1 species
GUAGGUGAACCUGCGGAAGGAUCAUUACCGAAGCGGGGAUGCCUUGAUUGGCUCCUUCGUUUAGCAGCCGACGGCUGUUGCAUAUAAAGUCGGGUCAGUGUGGCUCGCACGUCUUGAUACUUGCUGGUGUGUUUGGCUUCUUGAUCGGAGCUGCCAGUGAUCGGGCGUUUUUGAGACAUUGGCGUGGUUGAUUGCAAAUUCUUGCCGGUGGCGGAGCGUGUCCGCCGGUGGGAAAGCAUAGGCGAUCGAA